ACACGUCCCACGAAUUAUCUAUGCCCAUAGAAUCUUUUCUUGGCCAUCCCUUUGAUCUUGAAUAAACCAUGGCCAACCCAUACAGCUACCUUGCUUUUGAAUAACUCCAAAGGAAUCUGCAACUCCAUUAUGCACAUUCCAUCCACAUCUCCAUUUUUUGGUGUUUGUUGUGCUUUAUUUAUGUUUCAAUCUUUUCUUAUAUUAGAAAAUUCAGCCCAGAUUUUCAUUGACCUUACUUAUAUGUCUCCUCAGAUGAACCUUUUUUGAAUCAGGAGACUGUAAUGAGGUUUCACAUUGCUAUCUUAUAUUGGUUUUGGAUACAGUGAUGUUGUGACAAUGAAAAGCUUGACUUGGUACUUAAAUUUAUUACAGAAUAUGUAUAUGAAGAA
rnacentral:lncRNA from 1 species